UGCCGUUGUAUCUCUAAUAAUAAUGCGGAGAGUGUGUCCGUCUGUCUGUGACAGGCAAAGUGGAUGUGUUCAUUUUCCUUUGAUGUAGCCGAAAUUUCCUUUGAAGUCUCCGAAAAAGUUAUAUCCAUUUUGCCAGCGGGUUUACUUUGUUUACUUCACGUGAUCUAAAAAAUUUUAACGGCUAACUCCCGAAAAAUGGUAACCCUCGACACAAAAGCAACAACAAGAAAACAGCCCCUACCUCUUGAAAAAUUGCAAAAAGUAAUUCAGAGAAAGAAAAGUCCAAGAAAUGAAGUGAGAAGCGGUAGCUAGAGCUAGAAGUAAAGUAGUAAAGUUAGAAGAAGAAAAUAGAAGCUAGAGGUUGAGGUGGAUUUGAAAUCACAAAUACUACAUCUCAUACGGCAUCCGCUUUAUUGAUGGCGCGGCAACGCAACCGAUGACACAACGAGAACCUACACAUAUGGAUGUAGCUUUUUGUUAUUUUGUUUUUAAAUAAAUAAUCCUGCUAACCUUAUUUGGAUUUGCAAGCAGAUUAAAA